UGACAGGAAUCUCAUUCUCUGUUCCUCAA
rnacentral:piRNA from 1 species